rnacentral:rRNA from 1 species
UACGUAGGCAGCGAGCGUUGUUCGGAGUUACUGGGCGUAAAGAGUGCGUAGGCGGUUUGUCGCGUCGAAUGUGAAAACCCGGGGCUCAACCCCGGGCCUGCAUUCGAUACGGGCAGACUAGAGUUCGGUAGGGGAGUCUGGAAUUCCUGGUGUAGCGGUGAAAUGCGCAGAUAUCAGGAGGAACACCGGUGGCGAAGGCGGGACUCUGGGCCGAUACUGACGCUGAGGAGCGAAAGCGUGGGGAGCAAACAGG